AGUUAACUGUAAGUGCUGUAUUUUAAUAAUCUGUCAAAAAAUCAAAAUCAUCAGGAUAAUAUUAGGUAUUGAUUUUCAAACAAGAAUUAGAUUACAGCGAUGGUCAAAAGCAUUUAGAUAUUGCUUUGAAAUCUACAGAUAAGGUAUGGCAGUUUCGUUUUAAAGAACAAGAUGUUAAAGUUUAUGAUAAAAUUGUCAUCAGAAAUACUGUCCACUUGCAGUAUUUACAUAGGAAAAUGUUGGAGGAUGAAGCUCUACCUACUGCCUCAGGUUAAUUUAAAUUCUUUAAGAGUUGCAACAACAGCAACAAGCAAGAAGGGCACCAUUAAAUGAAUAUUAUACACAUAAAGCAACAACAGAAUAAAAAACCAAAAUAUGAACACCAGCAACUAAAACAGGAACCAUUAAAUGAAUAUUAUAUACAGCAAUAACAGCAUCAAAUAAUGGAAAUAAUGGACCUUAUUGCACAAAUCAAAAACAAAAUUUCAGCAUUACUACUUUAUUGGUUAUAUCAAUAAAAGAAAUUGAGUUUAUCAGUCUAGAUCCUACAAGCAAGCAGAUCUAUCACAUAAUUUUAAAUGAAGAUUUAUCUAUUAUAGUAAUUUAUUCUAAUAA